AUCGUUUAAUAAGAUUCUCGUCGUAUAUUCUUUUACGCAACCAAUUUAAAUUCUGCAAAAGUUUCCUUUUUUGAUACAAAUCUAUAGAGAAAGGAAUUCUAUCACCUUUAUUAGAGUUGGAAAUAUUCCUUUUUCUUUUUGGACAUGCAAUAUCGAAGCACCAAAGCAACGUUCCUAGAAAUUUGUCAAAUAGGCGAUUGACGUUAGAAUUAUUGAAUUCCUUAAAUUGGAAUUCUGCGAAGCGUUCCUUGAAAUCUAGAAGAGACCGUUCCUUGAUUAUUCUAUACGUGUGAAGGUAAUAGUCGUUGGUGUGUUCUUUAAUAUCGCAAGAAGCAACGACUAAUUCAAGAGUUUGACAAUGAUGGUCAGAUAUUCCGGGAUCAAAAUUUUUUGUUUUUAAAAUAUGAGGUACGUUGCUGAUAACAUAAUCUAUUGAAGAACUGCUGGUGUAAUUAAUGUUGGUGAAAAUUCUAGUUGGCGUAGUUAUUAAUGAUACCAUUUUGAAUGAAUGAAUUAAGUCAAAGAGUUUCAUAGUAUUUAUGUCGUUACUAAAUUGGUUUAUGUUUAGAUCACCAGUAUGCCUAACUUUGUGUUUUCCCCUGCAAUAAUAAUUUGAAAAAUGCCAAUGUUCCAUUGCAUUUUCCCCUAGAAAAGAAGGAGCCGUGUCGAAAUAAAGUCUGGAAAAUUAGAAAAAACCGCUGAAUCAUAGUAGAUACAAGAAGGAAAGGACCCUGUACCUCAGCAUAAAGUUUAGAGAAGGCUAACAUACUGCAAUCCCUUCUUUACAUCUCACAGGAAACAAAGGCCCUAAUAAAGCUACAAAACGCCAGUCAACUUAUCUAAGAAAUGGAGAAACCAGUUCAACAUCAAACAUAUGCCACAAUCAAACAGAAGAACUGAAUCAAAUCGAACCAAACCGCUUACUGAAAGCAUAGGUAUCCAAUCUGAGCUGGGUACAGAAAUUUAUUACAAAUAUUCAAAUUUAUAUGAGGAUAUAUGUUCGGAUGAUACUUCAGUAAGGUUUUCUUGUUUUUUUCAAAGGAAAGCGAACUAGAAUAUGAAAGAACUGACGCGUUUGGACUGCUUGGAUCCGUGCCGCCGCACCCACGACGUCGGGAUGACGUCACAUGUUCUGUCUUUCAAACUUUCAUCGUUAAUAAUUUGAAAACUACUCAUCGUAGAAAACUCCGGUUUGAAAUUUUGUUCUUAGAUUUUCUUCUACAAUUUUUUUGAUUUUGGGUAUACUACCCCUUUAACAGUACCGCAUACGACCCGCGAAUCUAUUUUUCUAAAGCGUGCGAACUACACGACGUACAAACCGCGAAUCUCUCGAUGUACGUGCUAUCAGCUCCACGUACAAACCGCGAAUCCUCUUUUUUCAAAAUCUUCCACCUCUCUGGAUUCCUAAGAAGACACGCCCGCGAAUGGGAACGAUUAAAGAUGGCUCUGGACAUUAAUUGACUGAUUGGUAUAUUAAAACUGCACCGUCAUAAUGAAGCCAGAUGAUAGGGGUUCACAAAACGAUCUCACAGGGAAAUCAGAUUUGUAAGAUAAACCAGUCGUUAAAAUGAGUGUUAUCAGAGAUACCUUCCUGACAAUGGGGCGACUCUGCCCAUUAAAGAACAGAGAAAACACUAUUAAUGCACUGACGCACUGAAAACUUGAGGUCACGUUUCACAAAGGAAAACAGUUUUGUGGAAAAAAUACGCCGCCCUAAUUUAAAUGAGUUCAAAUCAUCCAAAUAGGACAACCACCUAAAUGUACAUACAUGCUACUUUACGCUGAUGACAAAAACACAAACUUCUCAAAACAAAAUUCUGCCCAAAAUAAAAUCACUCAUUACAACUUCUGCAUUACGAGAUUUGUGUUCGGAAUUGUGCCGUUUAUCACCCCUAUUCCCAAAGUGAUAAACCCUGUGGAAAUGAAUGCCCACAUUUUCAAAGGUACUGGAGAGGAUUAUGGAUGAGCAACUUCGUUCGCAUUUAAACAAGUUUAAUAUACUUCCCCAUGAGCAAUCCAAACAGCUUACUGAAUGUCACAGAUGAGGUCUUGAAGGCCUAUGACAUUUUUGAUCUUACUUGGUUUUAGUAAGGCUUUCUAAAAAUUGAGAUGUUGCAUUUUAUAGGAUUGUCACAACGAGCUGUAGACCUCUUCCAUAAUUAUCUUUCAAAUCGAAUGCAGGCGGUCAACUACAUGGACAGAGUGUGCUAGUUUAGAGAAUUGAACUUUGAUGUCCCUCAGAGGUCCAUAUUUGGACCUCUUUUAUGCAUGUAAUGUCUAUUAUCCUGCAAAUUCCACAAUUAUAUAGACGAUACGCAAGUGUACUUAUCGUUUGCGUCCGAUGAGGAUUUGCAGGCGAUUGCUGCAAUAAACUACGAUUUAUAAAACAUAUAUAAAUUCUCAAAAGGACACUGCCUCCAGGAAAAACAUCUGCAAUUCUCUUUCAUCGCAAACAGGUUAGGAAGCAACUGCCUACGGCUAAAUGGCAUUGGCGUAAACCAGAACUCAAUUGUGGCUGAAAAUUGUGUAAAGAAUUUAGGACCAAAUGUCUGCAAAAAGCUUAUUUCACGUUGAAAUUAUUGUAUCAGCAUCUAUUAUAUAAAUCAUUAUAUCAAAUGGCAAAGACAACAUUGACAAAUAUAAUUU